UGAAAAGAACCUCCAUCAAGGAGAAAUAGAACAUGAAACCAUAAGCUCCCAAGCAGUGGGAGAAAAAUGAUAUCUCUGACCGCGUGCCUGUUGAAGAAUGAGCCGACAACUUAUAGGUAGUGGCUUGGGGAAUGUGGACACAGGUGGUGCAAGGAUGUCCUUAACUCAUGCCGUAAGGGCUUGGGUUAAGUAUUGCAACGAGCACAAACCUCGUGUUUAGUUUUCAACAUUGAAUUUGGAACCCUGAACAGACUGUUGGUGAUAAGCCAGAGGAAGGUGAGGAUGACAUCAAGUCAUAAUUCCCCUUAUGCCCUGGGUGACAUAUGUUCUACAAUGACCGGGAAAAAGGGUUGUGACCCCGCGAGGGAAAGUCAACCUCAAAAACCCAACCUCAGUUCAGAUUGCAUGCUGCAAAUCGCUUACAUGAAGCCAAAAUCACUAGUAAUCGGUGGUCAACCAUACAAACAUGAAUUCUAUCCCAAGCCUUGUACACACCGCCCGUCACACUAUGGGAGAUGGCCAUUCCCCAAGUCGUUACCUUAACCAUAAGGAGGGGAAUGCCAAAGGCUGGGCAAGUGACUAGAGUGAAUUUGUAACAAGGUAGCCAUACUAGAAGGUGCGACUG
rnacentral:ncRNA from 1 species